AGAGUUCGAUCCUGGCUCAGGAGAACGCUGGCGGCAUGCUUAACACAUCAAUCGAACGGGAAGUUGGUGUUUUUUUUGUUUCCAGUGUCGAACGGGUGAGUACCGCGUAAGACCUGCCCUUGGGAGGGGAACAACACCUGGAAACGAACGGUUGCUAAUACCCCGUAAGGCGGAGGAGCAAAAGAGAAAUCCGCCCAAGGAGGGGCUCGCGUCAUUAUCUAGUUGGUGAGGCAAUAGCAGCUUUACCAAGGCGAUGAUCAUUACUGUCCUAGAGGAUGAUCACCACACUGGGACUGAGAACCCGCCCAGAAUCCUACGGAGGCAAAGUGGGGAAUGUCCGCAAUGGGCGAAAGCCUGACGGAGUAAUGCCGCGUGGAGGUGGAAGGCUACGGUCGUCAACUUCUUUUCUCGGAGAAGAAACAUUAACGGUAUCGAGUAAUAAGCAUCGGCUAACUCUGUCCAGCAGCCGCGGUAAGACAGAGGAUGCAAGCGUUAUCCGGAAUGAUUGGGCGUAAAGCGUCUGUAGGUGGCUUUUCAAGUCCGCCGUCAAUCCCAGGGCUCACCCUGGACAGCGGGUGGAAACUACCAAGCUGGAGUACGGUAGGUGCAGAUGGAAUUUCCCGGUGGUGAGCGGUGAAAUGCAUUGAGAUCGGAAAGAACACCAACGGCGAAGCACUCUGCUGGGCCGACACUGACACUGAGAGACGAAGCUAGGGGAGCAAUGGGAUUAAGAAAACCCCAGGUCCUACCGUAAACGAUGGAUCUAGGUGCUGUGCGACUCGACCCGUGCAGGUCUGUAGCUAACGCGUUAAGUAUCCCAUCCCGUCCUGGGGAGUACGUUCGCAAGAAUGAAACUCAAAGGAAUUGACGGGGGGCCCCUCACAAGCGGUGGAGGCAUGUGGUUUAAUCGAUGCAAGCGAAGAAAACCUUACCAUGGCUUUACUGCCCGAUCCUCUUGAAGAGAGGGGUGCCCCCCUCGGGAACGCGACACAGGUGGUGGUGCAUGGCUGUCGCAGCUCGGCCGUAAGGUGUUGGGUUAAGUCUCUCAACGAGCGCAAACCCUCCGUGUUUAGUUCACUAAUGAGUUUGGACCCUGACGACCGCCGGUGUUAAGCCGAGAGGAAGGAGAGGAUGAGGCCAAGUCAUCAUUGCCCCUUAUGUCCCUGGGCGACACAUCAAACGUGCUACAAUGGGCGGGACAAAGGGUCGGCGAAUCUCGCGAGGGUGCACGCUAACUCCAAAACCCCUUCUCAGUUUCGGAUUGGCAGGCUGCACUCUCCUGCAUGAAGCAGGAAUCGCUAGUAACGCCGGUCAGCCAGACGGCGGUGAUCCGGUUUCCCGGCCUUGUCACACCGCCGCGUCACACUAUAGGAGCUGGCCAGGUUUGAAGUCAUUACCCUUACCGUAAGGAGGGGGAUGCCUAUUGCUAGGCUUGCGACUGGAGUGAAGUCGUAACAAGGUAGCCGUACUGGACGGGGCGGGCUG
rnacentral:rRNA from 1 species